GACAAACGCUGGCGGCGCGCUUAACACAUGCAAGUCGAGCGAGAACCGGGACUUCGGUCCCGGGGACAGCGGCAAACGGGUGAGUAACACGUGGGUAAUCAACCCUUGGCACCGGGAUAGCCCGAGGAAACUCGAAUUAAUACCGGAUAGCCCCUCCAACUCUCGAGUCGGUCGGGAAAGGUAGCUUAGGCCUCUGGCCGGGGACAAGCCCGCGGCGGAUUAGCUUGUUGGUGGGGUAAUGGCCUACCAAGGCAACGAUCCGUAGCUGGUCUGAGAGGACAAUCAGCCACACUGGGACUGAAACACGGCCCAAACUCCUACGGGAGGCAGCAGUGGGGAAUCUUGCGCAAUGGGCGAAAGCCUGACGCACCGACCCCGCGUGAGGGAAGAAGGCCUUCGGGUUGUAAACCUCUUUCAGGAGGGACAAAGCUACUCGGGUGAAUAGCCCAAAGGGUGACGGUACCUCCAAAGGAAGCCCCGGCUAACUACGUG
rnacentral:rRNA from 1 species